GAAAGUAACAGAAUUCACGGUGGACAUUACAGAAGAACUCCUGGAGCAAACUACUGACACUGAAGCUCCUGACAAGAAAGGUAUUGUAAUUGAGGCCAUCACAUCACUGCUGUAAGCUGUUUCAUCAUCAUCAUCAUCAUCAUCAUCAUCGUUACUGCAAUCAACUGUGUGAAGAAGUUCAAAAGCACCAACCCUUCUGGAUUACAGAAGAAAUAUGAAAGAGGUGUUUCUAAAGAACAAACAGUGAUGACCACAAAUGUUUAGAAAGAAACACUAUGAAAACAGUGAUUGAUUUUUUUUUUUAUCUUUCAUGUAAAUAUCAUAGACGUGAUAAUGUCCAGUUUAACUAAAGAUGCUGAUCUGUAAAAUUCACAUACAGUGUCAGCAACAAUAACUGAUCAGUAUAUUGAAUCUUAUAUAUUGAGUCAA